UACGGGGGGGCAAGCGUUGUUCGGAAUUACUGGGCGUAAAGGGCUCGUAGGCGGCCAACUAAGUCAGACGUGAAAUCCCUCGGCUUAACCGGGGAACUGCGUCUGAUACUGGAUGGCUUGAGUUUGGGAGAGGGAUGCGGAAUUCCAGGUGUAGCGGUGAAAUGCGUGGAUAUCUGGAGGAACACCGGUGGCGAAGGCGGCAUCCUGGACCAACACUGACGCUGAGUGAGCGAAAGCCAGGGGAGCAAACGGG
rnacentral:rRNA from 1 species